ACAGCAGCAGCCACGGUAAUACGAAGGGGGCUAGCGUUGCUCGGAAUGACUGGGCGUAAAGCGCACGUAGGCGGCUUGGUAAGUUAGAGGUGAAAGCCUGGAGCUCAACUCCAGAAUUGCCUUUAAGACUGCCGAGCUAGCAGGUGAGAGAGGUAAGUGGAAUUCCGAGUGUAGAGGUGAAAUUCGUAGAUAUUCAGAGGAACACCAGUGGCGAAGGCGGCUUACUGGCUCAUACUGGACGCUGAGGUGCGAAAGCGUGGGGAGCAAACAGGAUUAGAUACCCCAGUAGUCCCUGUCUCUUAUAC
rnacentral:rRNA from 1 species